AUGGAGUUUGUAAGGUUUUUAGUGCUGAUGAUCACAAGUCUUGUCCUGCUUUUGCACAACUCAUGUGCUCUUGUUGUUCAUCACCAAGGUAACAACUAGCUUCUACUAACUGCACAUUAUUCCUUUCUGCCUCGUUGUCUCCUCGAUACCCAGAAGACUGACCAUCAGAAUAUUAUAUCUUUAAUCUGUUAUUUCAGGAAGGAAACUGAAGGGGAACUCUCCGAUGGCUAGCCAAGAAAAUUUAGCACCUGCUAAAAUGGGACUUAUUCAUCGUGAUUCUUAAUCUGAUGCUGUCGGGGGAAACCAGCAGCAAUGGAACUACUAGUUAGCUGACAGGGAGAGGAUAUAUGUGAAGCUGCUUUCGACAAUCUAAUUGAGGAUGCUUUGCUAAUUUCCACAUAUGCCCCAAAAGAUGGUGCUCUUGGAAUAAUCGACGACAAUGGGCCUGAUAUCAAAAGUCUUUUGUUAUGGAUUUUUUGUUGAUAAAAAAUUUGGUGUAAUAAUAUAUUGAUGUAUUUUAUUUAACAUUCAAGAUUUAGGAUUUUUUUUUACUAAUGUCAGUAACAAUGGUACGCUCUUGACGGUGGUGGUUUAGGUAUCGUUAGAUUUGUGGUGGGUAACAUUCUUAGUUGUUUUUUGGGAUUUUCUUGUAUUGAACCUUUAAUGGUGGAAUAAUAUAUUUAUG